UACGUAGGGGCCAAGCGUUGUCCGGAUUUACUGGGCGUAAAGAGCGCGCAGGCGGUCGUUCAAGUCGAGUGUGAAAGCCCCCGGCUCAACUGGGGAGGGUCAUUCGAUACUGAUCGACUCGAAGGCAGGAGAGGGAAGUGGAAUUCCCGGUGUAGUGGUGAAAUGCGUAGAUAUCGGGAGGAACACCAGUGGCGAAGGCGACUUCCUGGCCUGUUCUUGACGCUGAGGCGCGAAAGCUAGGGGAGCAAACGGG
rnacentral:rRNA from 1 species